AUUGAACGCUGGCGGAAUGCUUUACACAUGCAAGUCGAACGGCAGCACGGGGGCAACCCUGGUGGCGAGUGGCGAACGGGUGAGUAAUACAUCGGAACGUGCCCAAUCGUGGGGGAUAACGUAGCGAAAGCUACGCUAAUACCGCAUACGAUCUACGGAUGAAAGCGGGGGAUCGCAAGACCUCGCGCGAAUGGAGCGGCCGAUGGCAGAUUAGGUAGUUGGUGGGGGUAAAGGCUCACCAAGCCGACGAUCUGUAGCUGGUCUGAGAGGACGACCAGCCACACUGGGACUGAGACACGGCCCAGACUCCUACGGGAGGCAGCAGUGGGGAAUUUUGGACAAUGGGCGCAAGCCUGAUCCAGCCAUUCCGCGUGCAGGAUGAAGGCCUUCGGUUGUAAACUGCUUUUGGUACGGAACG
rnacentral:rRNA from 1 species